CAUGUAUUUGUUAUGUUAGAAGCUAUACUUACCCCACGGCAAAGAAUGAGUAGCCAGACAAGUGGUAAGACUGAAUGGCGGUCUCGUGAUUCUCGAAGAUGAUUUCCACAAAGUUUCUGUGUGUCAUGUUGAGGACAAUAGGUGCCAAAGUUACCCUAGUGUUGUCACUUGGUGGCUCAUCGGGAAUGGUAUCAUACUUGAAAACCUUGUCGGCUACGCCGUAGUAUUCUGCAAGUUUUAGUGGAGUGGUUGGUUCGUCAUAGGAGACUCCAUUAAGAGCAUAUCGGAGCUUGCCAUCUACUCUUUGUGCAGUGUUGGCAAGCUUGAUGGUGCGGGUAAUGUUAAUGGAACCAUAUUUGUAGGAGCCCUGAGGGUUAGGCCUAGCAGCGUUAGAAGUCAAGUUCCAACGGAAGGUACGGAAUUGAUUGAGUGACCAAGCCCAACCAACAGGUGGCGGUGGCAACUCGGAUGAGGCAGCUCCCUUGCCAUUCUUGUAACGGAUGAUGCCGGUUGCUGUAACCUCACGUCUGGUAAAACGGGUAGAGGCCACCACAUAGUAAUCCCUUGGUUCCUGGUUUGCAGUAACAAGCACACUGAAGCACUGUCCAACAUGCACAUCAAGGGAGUCAUAGUCAUUCUGCAUUGUGUGGGAACCCUCCAUCUCAACCAAUUUCAUGGUGUGGCCCUGGAACCUGACGUUCAGAGAUGUCUUGAUACCCGUAUUGCAAAUCCUGUACUUGUACGUUUUGCCUGCCUCCAUCGUAAACAGAGGUUCAUCCUUCCCAUCACCUUUCGCAACUUUCCCAUUAAGGUGGACACCGUCACAUCUCCCAAGGUUGCGACCGCUAUCAAGAAUCUUCUUGAGGCUGGUGUGCCCCUUGUUGAAAAAGUCUCCCACUAAGAGAGUAUAGUCAUCAGCCGGAUCAGCGUAGGGAACAGGGAUGAGUAGACGGCUGUUAACACGGAGGCCACCGAAACCACCAACCGCCUUGUGCAUAGCCGUCACCGGAUAGUACAUGUAGCUGCCAAUCUGAUCCUUCACCUGGAAUUUAUAGGUGUAAUUCUUCCCAGGGGGGAUAGGACAGUUGGUUCCCAGAACACCAUCUUGCCAAGAGUUCUUCCUAUGCUGCACGCCGUCCCUGCAACAAAUCCCAUUUCCACAGAUAAUUAGCUCGACUCUUCACUAGCAUAAUCAUAUUAAUGUAAAAAAGAAACUACUCUUGGUAGUCGCUUACCAUGUUACAAGGAAUGGCUCAUCAAGGUUAUUGAACACAUUGACCACGAUAUUGUUGUUGGUGGUAGAGUUAAGAUUUGGUCCCGGGAAUUGCCCGUUAAUAAGAAUACCCUUUACUGGCACUCCCAAGGGAGCAAUGGUGCCAUAGGUGACGUUCCAUUCGAAAAAAAGGGUGGGAUCUCCGCCCUGGACCAUAAGCAUUGAUCCUGCCAAGAGAAAUAGCAUCGAUAUUAACAUUAAUCGAGCCAUCUCUUACCCUUUUUUUUCGCCCGACAGUAAUUUAUUAAUUAUCCCCUUCUAGAGGAAGAGGAAGAUGGUUUGCUUGAGUUGAUUUUGAAUUGCAUGCAUACCUCUCCUUUUAUACCACACAACCUCUUCAAUUCUUCCAUCUUAAUCCCUUAGAAUACGCUCAUCCAUUCAUUUAUUUCCUUGCUUUUAGCAAAUACUGUUUUUAACACUAAUCAUUUUGAGUUUAUCAUUCUCUUCUUUUCCAUCAAGGAUUUGCACAUCCACUGUGCUGAUGGCUAACCUUUUUUUUAGGACGAUGGUUACUCUGAUGAGAGUUCUUUUAGUUAUUUUCUUAAUUUAAAUAUAUAAAUAUGAAAUGUAUUAAAGUAACAUUAACCUCCAUUAUUAUAUAAUCAUUAUAGACAGUUGAUAUUAAGUGAAACUUCAUAUAUAAUUAAAUUAUGACCCACCAUAAAAGUUCAAAUUGAAUAAAUAAUAUGAAAAGAAAUUUAUAACUAAUUUCAUUUUUUUAGAGAUUAUAACAUACUAAUAACAUCAUAUAUCCAUUUGUGGUAUUCUAUGAGAGUAAUAUAGAUAAAAUUAAAACAUUGUAGAGGGUUCAGAGGGAGCUUUAUAAAUAAGUGAACAUGAUAUAUCGAAAGAAGGCAGAGAAGAAUACUAGAGCUGAUCCUAUAACAUUGAUCACAGCAACAAGUGAUGUUUGAUAAGCAAGAGAAAGGGAAUUGUAGUUGAUGAUAAGGCUAAACAACAACAACAACAAAAGUUGAAAGAAUUUUAGAGAGCUUUGAGAAUUAGAGUAUCAAAGUGCCAAAAAGUCACUCAACUAGUUGUGAUGGGCUCCUAUUUAUACUAGGUAUUUAAUAUGAGUAAUGAAAUUAGGUUUCAAUUGCAAUGGCAAUAUAUGGUUAAGACGGGAUGGUGAAUGGCCUUUUUGGUGAUGAUAAUGAUGAAUAUUGAAGAAAUGUUCACCAUAUUUUUGAAAUAAAGGAAAAACACUCAAUGUUAGAGGAAAAUGUUAAGAGGAAACUAUUUAAUUAUCUCCAUAUUUAAUCUACCAAGCCAAGUUCUCCGGAAAAUCUCAAGAGUGAAGACAACCCGAGAACUCUGUCGUAGGUUAUUUUCACUUCUUCUACUUUGGUGAAGCGGUAUCUUGUGAAACCUUUACCGCAGAACAUCUCUUAGAAUGCAAGACAAUGGAUGUUCUUGAACGAGAGUUGUUCAUGGUGUUGAAAGGUCAACAAAGGUAGGAAGCAACUUGUUAAAAAGGUUGAGCAAGUUGCACCGAAUGUUGAAAAGUUGAAUGGGAUAAUUGCAAUUUUGGUCCCUAAUUUUUUAGGCCAUUUGCAAGUUAGUCCCUGAACUUCAACUAUAAAUAGGCCUUUUCAUUUUUCAUUUCAACCAUCCCAACCAAUCUUUCUCUCUUAGUUUUCUCUCUUCUCUCAUUUGAGAAUUCUUAAGGAAUUCUAUUUGUUUGUAAUACUUUGAAGAUAGUAAAUUUAUCAUCUGGUGUUAGUGCCCGAGGACGUAGGUAUAAUUUACCGAACCUCGUUAAAACUCUUGUGUUCUUUCUUGUCCUAUUUUUCUUUCAAUAUUUGAGGGUAUAAUAGUAGUAUUUAAUUGUGCUAUUAAAUUACUAUAGAAGGGAUAUUCUGUCUAAGGAAAGACUUGGUAUUUAAGAGAUCCAUGUGAUCCACCUCUCUUUCCUGGGAAUUGAACUUUGUGUGAUUUUUUAGUACAAUAAUUUACACGCUUCCGACCCUAUUGGAACAACAAGUGGUAUCAGAGCCGGAGGUUAAUCGUAGUAUGCUCUGUGGUUGCAGUUUAAACUAAUCUUCCACAUCAGAAAAGAUUUCCUUAGGUAUAUUGAAAGAUUAUGGAGAAAACGGUCGGUGUAGGAGCUUCAACAUCGUCCAUGUGGACAAGACCGACAAUUGCAAAUGCAAGAUUGGCCGUGGAGAUCUUUGAUGGCACGGGCCAUUUUGGUAUGUGGCAAAGUGAGGUUCUAGAUGCCCUUUUUCAGCAGGGUCUAGACAUUGCCAUUGAUGAAGAGAAACCAGAUGAUGUACAGGAGAAAGAUUGGAAGGCGAUCAAUCGGUUGGCAUGUGGCACAAUUCGAUCAUGCCUUUCUCGAGAGCAGAGGUAUGCUUUUUCAAAGGAAACUUCUGCAAAUAAGUUGUGGGUGGCACUUGAAGAAAUUUUUUUGAAGAAAAACAGUCAAAAUAAGCUCCACUUGAAGAAAAGACUGUUUUGCUUCACAUACGUCCCAAGUACCACAAUGAAUUAUCACAUCACCAAAUUUAAUCAGUUAGUCACUGAUUUGCUGAAUAUGGAUGAGAUAUUCAAAGAUGAAGAUUUGGCUUUGAUGCUGUUGGGGUCACUUCCUGAGGAGUUUGAGUUCCUAGAAACUACUCUACUUCAUGGCAGGAGUGAUAUAUCUCUGAGCGAAGUCUGUGCGGCCUUAUACAGUUAUGAAUAGAGAAAGAAGGACAAACAGAAAAACUCAAUCAGAGAUACAGAAGCUUUAGUAGUCCGAGGUCGUUCAUACACUCGGAAGAAAACUCAAAAUGGGAGAUCAAAGUCAAAGUCCAGACUCGGGAAAGAUGAAUGUGCUUUUUGUCAUGAGAAAGGCCACUAGAAGAAAAAUUGUCCAAAGCUGAAGAAUAAGGGAAAAGCUGCUGUAGAUGCUUGUGUUGCUAAGCAUGAUACUAGUGACUCUGAACUAUCACUGGUUGCAUCAUCAUCGUCGUUCCAUUCAGAUGAGUGGAUAUUGGAUUCGGGUUGUACCUAUCAUAUGUCCCCUAAUCGGGAGUGGUUCUCUGAUUUAGUAGAACUAAAUGGAGGAGUUGUUUAUAUGGGCAAUGACAAUGCCUGUAAAACUGUUGGGAUAGGUUCAAUCCAAUUAAUGAAUCAAGAUGGAUCAACCAGAGUUCUGACUGAUGUUCGGUACGUGCCCAGUUUGAAGAAAAAUCUCAUCUCAUUGGGAGCCUUGGAAUCCAAUGGUUCAGUUGUUACUAUGAGAGAUGGGAUUUUGAAAGUGACAUAUGGCGCACUUGUGAUAUUGAAGGGCAUCAAGAAAAAUAACUUGUAUUACUACCAAGGUAGUACAGUUAUUGGAGCAGUCGCUACAGCUUCCGGUAACAAAGAAUUGGACUCAAUGCAGUUGUGGCAUAUGAAGUUGGGACAUGCCAGCGAAAAAUCCUUGCAAAUUCUGGCAAAGCAAGGAUUGUUGAAAGAUGCAAAGGCUUACAAAUUAAAAUUUUGCGAGCAUUGUGUUAUGGGAAAGCAAAAGAGAGUGAAAUUCGGUACUGCUAUCCAUAAUACAAAAGGUAUUUUGGAAUAUGUUCACUCAGAUGUGUGGGGGCCUUCCAAGACACCUUCAUUGGGAGGAAAACACUACUUUGUUACUUUUGUUGAUGACUAUUCCAGAAGAGUUUGGGUGUAUACCAUGAGAACUAAGGAUGAAGUGCUUAGAGUUUUUCUUAAAUGGAAAACUAUGAUCGAAAACCAGACUGGCAAGAAAAUCAAGCGGCUUAGGACGGACAAUGGAGGGGAAUAUAAAAGUGAUCCGUUCUUCGAUGUGUGCCAAGAGUAUGGUAUUGUUCGACACUUCACAGUUAGGGAUACACCACAGCAGAAUGGAUUGGCAGAGCGUAUGAAUCGAACAUUGCUGGAGAAAGUUCGAUGUAUGUUGUCUAAUGCUGGGUUGGGCAAGCAAUUUUGGGCUGAGGCUGUGACAUACGCUGGCCAUCUUGUUAAUCGUUUGCCAUCAUCUGCAUUAGAAAGAAAAACUCCUAUGGAGGUAUGGUCUGGAAAACCGGCUACAGAUUAUGAUUCCUUACAUGUGUUUGGAUCCACUGCAUAUUACCAUGUGAAGGAGUCAAAGUUAGAUCCGAGGGCAAAGAAAGCUCUCUUUAUGGGAAUCACUUCUGGAGUGAAGGGAUUUCGUCUUUGGUGCUUAAGCACAAAGAAAAUAAUCUGUAGCAGAGAUGUUACCUUUGAUGAAUCUGCCACAUUGAAAAAGGUAGCAGAUAAAGAUAUUCAGACAAGCAAUACUCCACAGCAGGUGGAGUGUACUCCAAAACAGGUAGAGUUUGAGCAGAUGGGGAUUUGCCCAGUUAAUAAGUCUAAUUCUCCAGCCACAAUGGAGGAAUUAGAGGCUGAAGAGGUUCUGACCCAAGAACCACUAAGUACACCAGAACCAGUUGCAGUUGCAAGGCCACGGAGAGAAAUUCGUAAACCUGCUCGAUUUACUGAUAUGGUGGCCUACGCCCUUCCCGUUGUUGAUGAUAUUCCUAUCACUUAUCAAGAAGCAAUGCAAAGCUUAGAAAGUGACAAAUGGAAAAGUGCCAUGGAUGAAGAAAUACAGUCUCUCCUGAAGAAUAAUACUUGGGAAUUGGCGCAAUUACCGAAAGGUAAAAGGGCAAUCAGAUGCAAGUGGGUAUUCGCAAAGAAAGAUGGAUCUCCUAGCAAGAAGGAUAUUCGCUACAAGGCAAGAUUGGUAGCUAAAGGCUACGCUCAGAAGGAGGGAAUUGACUACAAUGAUGUAUUUUCCCCUGUUGUGAAGCAUUCCUCCAUUAGAAUUUUGUUGGCCUUGGUAACACAGUUGAAUUUGGAGCUAGCUCAACUUGAUGUUAAGACGGCUUUCUUGCAUGGUGAGUUAGAAGAGGAGAUCUAUAUGACUCAGCCCGAAGGAUACACAGAUGCUGGUGGUAGAAAUUGGGUUUGUAAGCUGAACAAAUCGCUAUAUGGAUUGAAGCAAUCCCCGAGGCAGUGGUACAAGCGAUUUGAUAGCUUUAUGAGAAGGCAGAAGUAUACAAGAAGCAAAUAUGACAAUUGUGUAUAUUUGCAGAAGCUGCAUGACGGAUCUUUCAUUUAUCUACUCUUGUAUGUUGAUGAUAUGUUAAUCGCUUCGAAGAGCCAAAAUGAGAUAGAUAAGCUGAAGGCUCAGUUGAAUCAAGAGUUCGAGAUGAAAGAUCUAGGUGAGGCCAAGAAGAUUCUCGGCAUGGAGAUAAGUAGAGAUAGACCGAGAGGCAAGCUCUGUUUAAAUCAGAAGCAAUAUCUGAAAAAGGUAUUACAAUGUUUUGGUGUAAAUGAAAACACAAAACAUGUAAGUACCCCACUUGCUUCUCAUUUGAAACUUAGUGCUCAAUUAUCUCCAAAGACUGAAGAUGAAAGAGAAUAUAUGGCGAAAGUCCCAUAUGAUAAUGCAGUUGGGAGUUUGAUGUAUGCGAUGGUGUGUACGAGGCCUGACAUUUCACAAGCUGUUGGAGUUGUGAGCAGGUAUAUGCAUGAUCCUGGAAAAGGACAUUGGCAAGCUGUGAAAUGGAUUCUACGGUAUCUUCGAAAAACCGUAGAUGUUGGUUUAAUUUUUGAACAGGAUGAAGCACUUGGUCAGUUUGUAGUUGGAUAUGUUGAUUCCGACUUUGCUGGUGAUUUAGAUAAACGUCGUUCAACUACGGGGUAUCUGUUUACUCUUGCGAAAGCCCCAGUGAGUUGGAAGUCUACCUUACAGUCUACAGUAGCUGUGUCUACUACAGAGGCAGAAUAUAUGGCAGUUACAGAAGCUGUUAAGGAGGCUAUUUGGCUUAAUGGAUUAUUGAAAGACUUGGGAGUUGUUCAAAGUCACAUUAGUCUAUAUUGUGACAGUCAGAGUGCUAUUCAUUUAGCGAAAAAUCAAGUCUAUCAUUCAAGAACCAAGCAUAUCGACGUAAGAUAUCACUUUGUGCGGGAAGUCUUUGAAAAAGGAAAAAUUCUACUUCAGAAGAUUCCGACAGCAGAUAAUCCCGCAGAUAUGAUGACCAAAGUGGUAACAACAAUCAAGUUUAAUCAUUGUUUGAACUUGAUUAACAUCUUGAGAAUUUGAGCACCUACAGGUGUAUGGCGCUCGAGAGCGCAUUUAGAGGCACUACAAAAGAUAACUUUAUCGAAUUUGGGGAGUUGAAGGAAGUGUGUGAAGAUGUGAUUAUCCUAAUCAAAUCUUCAAGGUGGAGAUUGUUGAAAGGUCAACAAAGGUAGGAAGCAACUUGUUAAAAAGGUUGAGCAAGUUGCACCGAAUGUUGAAAAGUUGAAUGGGAUAAUUGCAAUUUUGGUCCCUAAUUUUUUAGGCCAUUUGCAAGUUAGUCCCUGAACUUCAACUAUAAAUAGGCCUUUUCAUUUUUCAUUUCAACCAUCCCAACCAAUCUUUCUCUCUUAGUUUUCUCUCUUCUCCCAUUUGAGAAUUCUUAAGGAAUUCUAUUUGUUUGUAAUACUUUGAAGAUAGUAAAGUUAUCAUCUGGUGUUAGUGCCCGAGGACGUAGGUAUAAUUUACCGAACCUCGUUAAAACUCUUGUGUUCUUUCUUGUCCUAUUUUUCUUUCAAUAUUUGAGGGUAUAAUAGUAGUAUUUAAUUGUGCUAUUAAAUUACUAUAGAAGGGAUAUUCUAUCUAAGGAAAGACUUGGUAUUUAAGAGAUCCAUGUGAUCCACCUCUCUUUCCUGGGAAUUGAACUUUGUGUGAUUUUUUAGUACAAUAAUUUACACGCUUCCGACCCUAUUGGAACAACACAUGGAAAAGGGUUAUUCUUACUUGUUUCAAACAAAAGUUGUUCUAUGGUAAUGCUCCGUUUGGUAGAACUUAUUCUGAAUAAUGACUCUUUCGAAAAAAUACAAUUCUACUAAAUAGAAAUUGUUCUAAGCAUAGUUAUUCGUAAAACACCAUUAUUUUGAACAAAAGGUGCUCUGAACUUAAUCGAAUAUCACACGCAAGUAUAUGUAUCGUUACAAGUGGUAUAAAAUAUCGAUCCCAAAGAGAAUUUUGACUAAUUAGAAUGCCAAUCAUCAAAAUUUACUUUUAAUACCUAUCCAAAUAAAUCAAUGACUAAAUUAAAUACAAGAAAAUUCUAGAGUUCAAAGACAAGGGAAAUUCAAAUAGGCAUUACUGUUCUACAUCAAAAUACCAUUGGGGUGGCAUGACCCCAAUUUGUCUAAUAACAAUAAUGUAUCGAUUUCUCUGAGGGGUCGAGUGAGCACUUUAUUCCAAAAUCUUCUGAAACUUGUAGUUUGGACAAUGAAUCAGCUACCUUGUUUCUGUCCCUCUAAUUUCCAUAAUAUGUUCGUGGUGGCUUGAAAAGUGAAUAACAACUAUUUAAAUUUGAGAUUCAACUAUUAGAUUAAACUAGUUCUUUUUGUACAAAGGAAGGCUCAACUAGCCAUAAUGCAAAAAAAAAAAAACAUUAGAGCGUAGGAGCUAAAAGUUCCUACUAUCUUCACUUAGCACGUCAAUUACUCUUAGAAUAGAAACCAGCAAAAAGAGCUAAGUUAAAUACAUGGAUCAGAGACUACAGAGUAAGGUAAGUGUUGUUCUGCAAAUCCAAAUAAAAGCGGUUGGCCAGAAAAUAUUGAUCUGAAAGUGUUAGAAGUUGAAGUGAUUCGUUUAUCAAGUGAAGAGGAUGUCAACGAAUUAAUUGCAAAUCUAGAUAAUGUGAGUCCAAUGUCCUUGGCUGUGAUGGUGGCUUUACCUCUAGUGAGGUUUGACCUUUGUCAGGUUGUGAUGAUCAUCGGUGCAGGAGGGCUAGUAGGCAUUUGGAUAAAAGUGACGAUGAAAUUUCAAGUAACAUAAAGGGUGUUAGAUUUUGCUCAUUAGUCCAAGAAAAUGAAAAUGGGGGUAACUGUGUAAAAUAUGGUUGUGGAACGUUCAGAAGGUAGUAAUGAGCUGUGCAAUCGUAGUAGGGAAACAAAGAGUGUUCAUGGGCACAACGAUAAAGAGAGGAGGUACGAGACAGAAAAGAAAAACGAGCAAUCGAGGCUUAUAGCAUAUAAAAGGAUAUCUCAACUCAACCAGUGUGCCUCUGAAAGGCCUGAUCAUUGGUAUUUAUAUGAAAUAAAAUCUACUUUGGCUCAUUUUUCCCAAACAAUCUGCCUCUAUAUUUAUGUAAGUUUCAAUUUGUGAUUGAAAAGAAUUUGGAUGUGUCUUACAAGAACUUGACUCUCCAUUUUGGUCAUCAAGUAAAGAAAGAAGCUCAGCAUUGUUGUUUUCAACUCCCACUCUGUGAAACCCCUUGUUCUAUGCAAUAUUUAAGCCCUUUUAUCCAAGCUUCAACCCAAAACACUGAGCACAAACCCAAGUUUCUCAUGUGCCCAACAUAUAAAAGAAUAGAAAACCAAAAUUUCACAAAUAAAAAUAUAGGAAAGAGAAUUUGAGCAUGAUGUGAAUAUAAAAAUAAUAGUAAUAUGUACAUUUAUAAAUUAAUGUAUAUCAAAAUCUAUAUAAAACUAAAAUUUUAAUUUUAAAAAUAUAGGAAAAAAAUUGAGCAUCAUAUAUAUAUUUAUAAAUUUAGAAUAUUUCUUAUAUAUGUUUUUUUUCUCUAAUGUCGAUUUGGUUUCAUGUUAAAUUCUUAUUUGUGUUUUCUUCACGUUUAUAUCGUCCAUAUAAUUAAAAAAUAAUUAUGGUAAGGAUUAAAUAUUUUGAUGAAGAUGCAUUAGUCAUAAAAUAUUAGCCGUCCACACAAUGAAUUAAUGUGCAAAUAUUAUAUUAGAACAAAAGAGAAUCACGGUAAAAUCAAAUUGGUUAAUGUUAAAAAUAGUAUAUACUAAAAGAAAAUAAACAAAUGGAUGUGCGCAAUUUAAGGAUUUCAAGAGAAAAAUUGAAUGGUGAAGAAUGAUUGUAUUAGAAGGAGUUGUGUUGUAUAAAAGGGUAAGCCAACAUGCAACUCAAAUCAUCUCAAACAAAUCUUCUUCCUCUAAGAGGGGAUAAACAGCCUUAAUUCAUAAAAUUUCAUAAAAUUACAUAAGAGACUUUAAAGCCAACAAAAUGGCUCCAUUGACGAUAAUAGUGGUGUUUUUUCUCUGGGUAGGAUCACUGCUUAUGGUUCAAGGUGGAGAUCCCACCAUUAGUUUCGAGUGGAAGGUCACUUAUGGCACCAUAUCUCCUUUGGGUGUUCCCGUAAAAGGUAUUCUCAUUAACGGGCAAUUCCCUGGGCCAAAUAUGAACUCUACCACCAACAACAAUGUUAUAGUCAAUGUGUUUAACAACCUUGAUGAGCCAUUCCUUUUGACAUGGUAAACAAGAGUACUUUUUUUUCCCUUGAUUAUAUUAGUAAAGAGUUGAGCUUAAUUAUAUAUAUAUAUAUAUGGAAAUGAAUUUUGUUGCAGGAGUGGCGUGCAGCAUAGGAAGAAUCCUUGGCAAGAUGGUGUGCUUGGAACCAACUGUCCUAUCCCCCCCGGGACGAAUUACACCUAUAAAUUCCAGGUGAAGGACCAAAUUGGCAGCUUCAUCUAUUAUCCAGUGACGGCUAUGCAUAAGGCGGUUGGUGGUUUCGGUGGCCUUCGUAUUAACAGUCGUUUACUCAUUCCUGUCCCCUAUGCUGAUCCAGCUGAUGACUAUACUAUCAUAGCAGGAGAUUUUUUCAACAAGGGACACACCACCCUCAAGAAAAUUCUUGAGAGCGGUCGCAACCUUGGUAGAUGUGAUGGUGUCCACAUUAAUGGAAAAGUUGCUAAAGGUGAUGGUAGCGAUGAACCUCUCUUCACCAUGGAAGCAGGCAAAACCUACAAGUAUAGGAUUUGCAAUGCGGGUAUCAAGACAUCUCUGAACGUCAGGUUCCAAGGCCACACCAUGAAAUUGGUUGAGAUGGAAGGUUCCCACACAGUGCAAAAUGACUAUGAAUCCCUUGAUGUUCAUGUUGGACAGUGCUUCGCUGUGCUUGUUACAGCCGACCAAGAACCAAAGGAUUACUUUGUUGUGGCCUCUACCCGUUUUACCAAACGCGAGGUUACAGCAACUGGUGUCAUCCGUUACACCAAUGGCAAGGGCGCACCCUCACCUAAGUUGCCACCACCACCAGUUGGUUGGGCUUGGUCACUCAAUCAAUUCCGUACCUUCCGUUGGAACUUGACUGCCAGCGCUGCUAGGCCUAACCCUCAGGGCUCCUACAAAUAUGGUUCCGUUAACAUUACCCGUACCAUCAAGCUGGCCAACACUGCUCAAAAAGUAGAUGGCAAGCUUCGAUAUGCUAUUAAUGGAGCCUCCUAUGUCGAACCAACCACUCCACUAAAACUUGCAGAAUACUACGGCGUAGCUGACAAGGUUUUCAAGUAUGAUACCAUUCCUGAUGACCCACCAGCUGAGAUCACUAAAGUAACCAUGGAACCUGUUGUCCUCAAUUUGACACACAGAAACUUUAUGGAAAUCAUCUUCGAGAAUCGCGAAACAGCCAUCCAGUCUUAUCACUUGUGUGGCUAUGCCUUCUUUGCUGUGGCGUAAGUAUUUGGUCUUCAAAUUCUUCUAGUAUAUAGUCAUUACUUUCCGUUUAACUAAAUUCUAUAAUCAUUUGUUGCAGUGUCGAGACUGGGCAAUGGAGCCCUGAGAAGAGGAAGAACUACAAUCUUCUUGAUGCCGUGAGCAGACACACCAUACAGGUUUUCCCCAAGUCCUGGGCAGCUAUCCUAUUGUCAUUCGACAACUGUGGAAUGUGGAACAUCAGGUCAGAGGUAUGGGACAGGCAUUACCUUGGGCAACAGCUUUAUGUUAGUGUUGUUUCCCCUAACAAAUCACUCAGGGACGAAUACAACAUGCCUGAGAGUGCACUAGUUUGCGGUGUUGUGGAAAGCAUGCCAAGGCCACCACCAGCUUACACCUAAUUUAAAGCUUAUAUAAACCUGGAACCAGUUCUGCUUCAAAUGCACAUAAAACGACCUUUGUAGUGACUAAUGCUGACUUUUCCAAUAAAUUAAUUUUCUUGAUGUAAUCAUCAUUCAGCUACUAUAUGUCAUUCAAUAAUAAAUUCUUUCAUUUUUUCUAUUUACAGUGUGUGUGAAAUUUAUUUUAUUUUUUUAAAUGUAGUUAUUUUCGUAAAUAAUAUAAAAAAUAUUAAAAUAGGAUAUAAUGAAAAAAUAAUACAAUCACAAUCCAAAUAGAUAAAUAUGUAAAAACUUACAUAAAUUAACGAAUUAUUAACAAAUAAAAGUUAACUAAUGUUUUUAACUGUUGAAUUUAUUAUUUUAUUUAUCAUGCAAGUAAAAUUUCGUAUUAAUCUAAAUACCAUCUUUAUUAAUAUAUAUAUUUAAUGGUUCAAAGUUUUUACAUUAAAAAAAUAUAGUUAAAUAUUUAAAAUUUAAUCAGAAUUGAAAUUAUGAUAGUUAAAUAUUAAUCAUACAAAAAUAAAUAUUAAAUAGAAAAUUUGCAUAGUAUUGGUAAGUUCACGAUAACAAAUGCUCUCUCCAAGAAAUCAAAGGCAAAGCCAGAAAAUUUGUUUAGGGGACCGAAAUUAAAUUGUAAUUUUUUACGAUAGCAAAAGUGCAAUUUCACAAUUUUAAUAGCCUAUGUCUUUAUAAUUUUUAUAAGGUUAAAUCAAAUUUUUAUCAUUUUAAAGGAGCCAACGUACAAUUCUAUUUUUAUUAAUUUAAAAUCUUAAAAUACCUAAAUAAAAAAAUUUCAAUUUUAGCUCACCCUUAAUCCAUCCUACUUCAAAUACAAACAUAAUCAAGCAAAAUAAUCAUUAAUGCAUAGGUAGUGAGAAUAGCCUUUAUAAAAUAUCAAUUAAAAUAAACAUAAUUCAAGUUAGAGUCUUCAAAAUUACAACCCAAAAACAUUAAAAUAAAACAAAUUUCACUUAGCAGAUAGCUUCUGAAACUGAGGGUUGCAAAUUCUUUGAUGAGAAUUGGAAUCCCAAUAUUGGGGUGGUAAAUUAUUUCAUCCCCACAUGACAACUGAAACCCUAAGUUUAUGGUGAUUCUGGCACAGAAAAAUCAUCAUACUAAGAAAAGAAAAAACAUGAUACUAAUUGCAGUAGUGUCACCUGUAGUGCCAAGUCCUUUAUACCACUCCCCCUUUUAGUUCAAGAGAUUUUCCAAACCCCAACUGAAGCAGCUUGGCCAGGAGAUCAUUCCACAAUGCUUUGACUCGUCGAACAUUGGCUUGAAGUUGUUGAAUGACCUUUUUCUUGGGAGGCAAUCUCAGCAUCAAGAUGUUGGAGAUGAAAUGUCUUCCUUUGUGCCAACUCCAACAGGCUGGGCCACAACAUCAGGAACUGCUUCAGGGAGUGCAACCUGGUGUUUCCCUUCAAGCCACUUGUAUGAAUACUUCAACUCUAUAGGCUUCCUUUCAUAUUUUUCAGUAGCCAAUACAAUUUCAUGAUUUUGAUUAUAAAGAAUCUGAAAAAUUAAGUGAAUGGAAAGAAAGACAUAACAUGGGGUAAACAAAAUUAGUAUGUUUGAUGAUUUCCUGAAAAAUAAGCUCUCCCAAGUCAAAUUGAAUCACAUCACAAAUCUUCCUAAGCAGAGUAACAAUCUUCUUUGUAACUGUAUUCCUUUGGCUAUUAGGAAUCCAGUUUCUGGUUGCAAUAGCAAACAGGCCAGCAUAAGUGGGCUCUAGAGUAGAAGCUUGUGGGCAAGGUAAGGUGAACUCCAUUGGUGAUGGUUUUGACCAUUAUACCAUAAAAUUCAUCUAGCUUGACAUCUAUCAAGCAUGAGUGAAGCAAUAGCUCCCAAAUUUGUGUAGGGCCAAAAUUAUACCAUCUUCCUCGAAUAUAAGCUUUGUGGAAGAGUUUGCUCGAAGACUUAUUGACAGACUUGAGAAGAUUGACAUAAAACCCAUAAACCCCCUCCUCGGCAUAUGGUUUUACAAAAGCAACAAAUUGUAGCAAGUCAUUCUACUCAAUGAAGUGCUUCUUUGUACACAGCAAAUAUCUGUUGGUGCAGACGGUUGACAAAAUUGUUUGCUCUUUCUUUUGCAGUAGAGUAUCUUCUUCUUUGGAAGAGGGAACAGUAGUAAAUUUCUUGGGAGAAUCUUACCUUGCAGGAGUGGACUGAGGGAUGUUUUGUCUCCUGGUUCUGUUAUGAACCGAAACAGAAAGCAGAAAAUAGAAAAGGGAAGAAGAAAACAGAAAGUUGGUCUAUUCAUUAAUUGUUUUAGUGAUGCACACUAUUUUGUGAUGGUUUUUCUUAUUAAUGCAUUAUAUGAUUUUAAUAAUCAACACAGUAAUUAGAAUUAAAACAUGGCAGCAAUGAAAUUGUUGAAAGCUUGCGGAUGACUUGAAUACAAACAAAUGGUCCAAAAUAUUUUAUUUCAUUAAAUACAUUUGGAACUCAAGCUUUUCUCACCCUCUCUCUCCCCAUACACCAGAAUUGGCUACAGAUUUAUAAGCUUAUUUAAAUUAACUGCUGAAAGGUGGAGGCCUUGGCAUGCCUUGCACGAUGCCGCAAGUCAAUACACCUUCCGGCAAGUUGUACUCAUCCUUGAGGGAUCGGUUAGGGGAAAUAACACUAGCAUAAAGCUGUUGCCCAAGGUAAUGCCUGUCCCAUAUCUCCGACCUCAGGUUCCACAUCCCGCAGUUGUCGAAUGUCAAUAGGAUUGCUGACCAGGAGUUGGGGAAUACCUGUAUGGUGUGUCUGCUCACGGCGUCGAGAAGAUUGUAGUUCAUCCUCUUCUCAGGGCUCCAUUUCCCAAUGUCCAUGCUGCAACAAAUCAUUAUACAACUUAUUACUUCAACUCAGGCAAUAAAAUCACCACAUGUAUUUGUUACGUUAGAAGCUAUACUUACCCCACGGCAAAGAAUGAGUAGCCAGACAAGUGGUAAGACUGAAUGGCGGUCUCGGGAUUCUCGAAGAUGAUUUCCACAAAGUUUCUGUGUGUCAUGUUGAGGACAAUAGGUGCCAAAGUUACCUUAGUGUUGUCACUUGGUGGCUCAUCGGGAAUGGUAUCAUACUUGAAAACCUUGUCGGCUACGCCGUAGUAUUCUGCAAGUUUUAGUGGAGUGGUUGGUUCGACAUAGGAGGCUCCAUUAAGAGCAUAUCGGAGCUUGCCAUCUACUCUUUGUGCAGUGUUGGCAAGCUUGAUGGUGCGGGUAAUGUUAAUGGAACCAUAUUUGUAGGAGCCCUGAGGGUUAGGCCUAGCAGCGUUAGAAGUCAAGUUCCAACGGAAGGUACGGAAUUGAUUGAGUGACCAAGCCCAACCAACAGGUGGUGGUGGCAACUCGGAUGAGGCAGCUCCCUUGCCAUUCUUGUAACGGAUGAUGCCGGUUGCUGUAACCUCACGUCUGGUAAAACGGGUAGAGGCCACCACAUAGUAAUCCCUUGGUUCCUGGUUGGCAGUAACAAGCACACUGAAGCACUGUCCAACAUGCACAUCAAGGGAGUCAUAGUCAUUCUGCAUUGUGUGGGAACCCUCCAUCUCAACCAAUUUCAUGGUGUGGCCCUGGAACCUGACGUUCAGAGAUGUCUUGAUACCCGUAUUGCAAAUCCUGUACUUGUACGUUUUGCCUGCCUCCAUCGUAAACAGAGGUUCAUCCUUCCCAUCACCUUUCGCAACUUUCCCAUUAAGGUGGACACCGUCACAUCUCCCAAGGUUGCGACCGCUAUCAAGAAUCUUCUUGAGGCUGGUGUGUCCCUUGUUGAAAAAGUCUCCCACUAAGAGAGUAUAGUCAUCAGCCGGAUCAGCGUAGGGAACAGGGAUGAGUAGACGGCUGUUAACACGGAGGCCACCGAAACCACCAACCGCCUUGUGCAUAGCCGUCACCGGAUAGUACAUGUAGCUGCCAAUCUGAUCCUUCACCUGGAAUUUAUAGGUGUAAUUCUUCCCAGGGGGGAUAGGACAGUUGGUUCCCAGAACACCAUCUUGCCAAGAGUUCUUCCUAUGCUGCACGCCGUCCCUGCAACAAAUCCCAUUUCCACAGAUAAUUAGCUCGACUCUUCACUAGCAUAAUCAUAUUAAUGUAAAAAAGAAACUACUCUUGGUAGUCGCUUACCAUGUUACAAGGAAUGGCUCAUCAAGGUUAUUGAACACAUUGACCACGAUAUUGUUGUUGGUGGUAGAGUUAAGAUUUGGUCCCGGGAAUUGCCCGUUAAUAAGAAUACCCUUUACUGGCACUCCCAAGGGAGCAAUGGUGCCAUAGGUGACGUUCCAUUCGAAAAAAAGGGUGGGAUCUCCGCCCUGGACCAUAAGCAUUGAUCCUGCCAAGAGAAAUAGCAUCGAUAUUAACAUUAAUCGAGCCAUCUCUUACCCUUUUUUUUCGCCCGACAGUAAUUUAUUAAUUAUCCCCUUCUAGAGGAAGAGGAAGAUGGUUUGCUUGAGUUGAUUUUGAAUUGCAUGCAUACCUCUCCUUUUAUACCACACAAUCCCCUCUUCCAUUCUUCCAUCUUAAUCCCUUAGAAGAAGCUCAUCCAUUCAUUUAUUUCCUUGCUUUUAGCACUAAUCCAUUUUUGGUUUUACAAUUUUGAAUCAUUGUUCUCUGUUAUCACAAGGAUUUGAAUAUUCACUCUAUGGAUGGCUAACCUUUUCUUUAGGAAAGUAGUUGCUUCUAUGAAAAAUACUCUAGUUUUUUUCUUUUACCUUUUUAGUUAUUCUUUUAUUAUAAAUAUAGAUAAACUAUUGUAAUUUUUAAAAAUAGAAAUUGUAUUAAAGUGAAACCAACCUUCUUAUAUGAAAACUUAAAUUAUGACACAAAAAAAUAAUUUGAAAAAAAAAAUAAUUAGUUCUUUUUUUUUUUGCAAGAGUUUAGGCAUACAUGACAAAUUCAUUUGUGACAUCAUCUACAAGAGAUUUUAUAAUAAAUUAAAUUUUGAACACCCAAAAUGUGGAGAAAUUAUUUUAUUAACUCUUUCCACCAAAUUACUCAUGAUCCAUUUCAAAUUACUUAACGAAAUAUUAACAAAUUUUUCCACAUCACUCAUGGCAACGAAUAUGACCAUUGUUACAGUUGAAGUGAAUACCAGGGGUGGAUCAGACAUGAGCAACAAUGACACAAAUAUGAAGAAAUCCAUUAUGGAGACCUUGCAGGAUGUUGAGCAGUUUGCAUAUAACAUUCUGAUUUUCACUGGGGUCAAAAAUUUCAAUUUCAGGGCUGAAUUCUCGAAGCCGAACUAGUCCAAAAAUCUUAAAUCAAGACAUUUACAAGAUGAACAUGAAAUUAGAAAUUAGAAUUAUUAAGGGAUUAAAUUAGAUAAAUUAUUAAGUACAAGGACUAGAUUGAAAGAAUAGUAAUUAUUGAUCAAAGACUAAUUGUGAGGUGAAUAAAAUAAAGAGAAUUGAUUUAAGAAUUAAACAAAUUUGUCAGUGGUAAUUAUGCCAAGAACCUAAGUACUGUUAAACCAAGAUUUAUUCUUAGUUAGUGGCUUGCGUUGAUCCUUGCCAUUCAUUUCUAUUGACCAUUCUUUAAGCUCAAUUGCAGCCAUUAGAUUAAUGAGUAAUUAGAUUAAUUAUGUAUAUAUAUAUAUGUGUGUGUGUGUGUGUUCAAUUGGUGAGAGAAGCAAAAGAAAGAAAGAAAUUCUUUAGGUUACUCUUCCAUUAUCGUCCAUCAAAUUACUAAGGAAGGUGAACUUUUCACUUGAAUUUGUUAAAAUCUUAGUUUGUGAUACUUUGAUGAACAUAGCCUAAGCAUUAGAGAACUUAGAGAAUGAAAACCUGAAUCCAUGAAUAUCUAGUGUUAAGCUUCAACUUUGUGGAAAACAUGCUAGAAAUGAAGUGGGAUGUGUAGAAACAAGACUUGAUUAGACAUAGAUAAUAUAGCCAUUGAUGAGUUCUUGAGAGCUUGAAUGAGAUUGUUGAGAACUUUGGACAAAAAUGGUAUUUUAUUGAUAGUUUGAGGCCUUAGAGUAUGGUUACAAAGUCGAAUUGAUUCGAGUGAGAAAAUUCUGAGAUAUACGAAAAUCGGACAUUAAGGUAUAAAAAGACAAUUGAUACCAUUUAAACAUGUCAUCUUAUUUCUCAAAUCAUCCUAAGACUUACAGAGUCUCUUAUAACUUAAGCAUAAGUCACAUAAUACUUAUAUUUUAGUCCCUUUUAAUCGAUUUCAAUCAUAUACCACUUAUGUAUCUUAGACACAUAAUACACUUAUAUUUUAGUUCCUAUUAAUCGAUUUCAGAUUCAAUGGAGAAUACGCAAAAAUUAAUAUAUUGAAUUACUUAAUAACCCAACAAAGAAUUAAAGUUAGUGAUAUGUCCUAACGCUCAAUACACCAAAAUACUAAAAUAGUCCUCAUUCUUAACAUCCUUAAACAUAAAUUUACAUAUCUUUAAUCCCUUUCAUAAUAUUUUCAUGAUCGUAAUCCACAUCACAAAUAUAUAUACACAUAUGAAUAUCAUCACAACCAUUGCCAUCAAAGUCAAUUAAGCUAACAUGCCUUUUAUGAGAACAUUCAUCAAUAUCAAUUCAUUAAACUUAGCUACUUAAUGAGUUAUGACACGAGAUCACAAACCAAAUUCAUUAUUCGUCCUUGGAUUCUUGACGUUCCGGUCUUGUUUCUCAACUUUGUUCAAAUAAUUCAAUUAUUAGAACGAGAUAGUAGCAUAUUCAAACAUAGCAGACUAUUCAAUUUCUUAAUCAUCCACAAUUUGUCCAUCUUCGUGCGAAGAGUAACUUAAAUUAUGCUAGUUUCCAAGCAAAGUCAUCUAGGGAGUGCUUGAAUUUCAAAUAUUCCAUGUAAUUAUUGGGAGAUAAUAUAUAAUAACCUUAUUUUUAAUAGGUUUAUAUGUCAAAAAGUCUAUCCAUAUAUUAAAUUCGCACCCAAUUAAAUUCUUGGCAUUAAUUAAAAUAUUUAACGAUGUUCGAAAUUGAUUACAUUGACUGUUAAAAAAAAUUGGUAGGCCAAUUAGAUGAUGAGACGUGGUAGCUUAUAGUUUAAUCUAAUAUCUUUUCCAAAAAAAUUUAAAUUAAGCCAUCGGUUUACCACUUCCACUGAUCCGUCUAGUUUAAUUAAAUAAAACAUUAAGAAAUAAAAUAUAUAUAUUAAAAAGAUAAAGAAUCGGUUCAACCAUCCGGUUCUAAUGUCAACUGGCCUAAUGGCUUUCUCUAGAUCGAUAUCCUUGUCGAUUUUGGUCUAACCGGUCCAACUGACUAAUCCAACCCAAAUCAAGUUAUUAUUAUUUUAUAUCAAAUUUAAUACUUCUAAUAUUUUUUAUUAUUUUUAUAGAGUUGUAAUGUUUUUUAUAAAAUUUUAAAUAUAUUUUUAUUAAUUUUAGAAUUUUUUAAAAUUUAUAAGUUUAUACCAAUUUUAUUUUUUUAAUAUUUAAUAAUAUUUAUAUUUUUGAUAAUAUUUUUUUAAUUUUUUAAUAUUUUUAUAGGAAAAAUAAUAGAUUAAUCUAGAAGCUAUUACUAUCUCUAUCUAUUGCUCCAUCAAUUUAUUUUACGUGGCUUAAUUGAUUAUUUUAAUUAAUGAUAGGGACUUAAUUAAGUAUAAAUUGUACACAAUGACUUAACUUUUUUUUGAAAUUUACAAAAAUAAAUGAAUAAAAAUAAACAAAAAGUUGAACCGCCAUAGUAGAAUGAUUUAUUUAUAUUGAUGAAGAUCAAUGUUCCAAGCAGAAGUAUAUCAACAAAAAAUAUAUAUAUAGAUUAUUUAUUUUAAAUUUCUUUGUUAAUAUAACUUAAUUAUUUAUUUAUAUCAAUUUUGAACAUAUCAAACUAAUUAGUAGUAUAAACCAUGUUUAAAUCAUUCAUCUUUAAAUAUUGUACAAUUUUGAAAAUAUCUGUUUUUUUUAUAUUGAAAAUAACUUAAAUAUUGUGUGUAUAUUCGAGGGCAACACACGAAAAUUAGUAACAAUAAAGUGGUCCAAAAGCUUUUAUUUCAUUACAUAUUGUACAGAACUCAGCUUUUCUCACCCUCUCUCUCCCCAUAUACCAUAAUUGGAUACAGAUUUUUAAGCUUAUUUAAAUUAACUGCUGAAAGGUGGAGGCCUUGGCAUGCCUUGCACGAUGCCGCAAGUCAAUACACCUUCCGGCAAGUUGUACUCAUCCUUGAGGGAUCGGUUAGGGGAAAUAACACUAGCAUAAAGCUGUUGCCCAAGGUAAUGCCUGUCCCAUAUCUCCGACCUCAGGUUCCACAUCCCGCAGUUGUCGAAUGUCAAUAGGAUUGCUGACCAGGAGUUGGGGAAUACCUGUAUGGUGUGUCUGCUCACGGCGUCGAGAAGAUUGUAGUUCAUCCUCUUCUCAGGGCUCCAUUUCCCAAUGUCCAUGCUGCAACAAAUCAUUAUACAACUUAUUACUUCAACUCAGGCAAUAAAAUCACCACAUGUAUUUGUUACGUUAGAAGCUAUACUUACCCCACGGCAAAGAAUGAGUAGCCAGACAAGUGGUAAGACUGAAUGGCGGUCUCGGGAUUCUCGAAGAUGAUUUCCACAAAGUUUCUGUGUGUCAUGUUGAGGACAAUAGGUGCCAAAGUUACCUUAGUGUUGUCACUUGGUGGCUCAUCGGGAAUGGUAUCAUACUUGAAAACCUUGUCGGCUACGCCGUAGUAUUCUGCAAGUUUUAGUGGAGUGGUUGAUUCGACAUAGGAGGCUCCAUUAAGAGCAUAUCGGAGCUUGCCAUCUACUCUUUGUGCAGUGUUGGCAAGCUUGAUGGUGCGGGUAAUGUUAAUGGAACCAUAUUUGUAGGAGCCCUGAGGGUUAGGCCUAGCAGCGUUAGAAGUCAAGUUCCAACGGAAGGUACGGAAUUGAUUGAGUGACCAAGUCCAACCAACAGGUGGCGGUGGCAACUUUCCCAUUAAGGUGGACACCGCUAUCAAGAAUCUUCUUGAGGCUGGUGUGUCCCUUGUUGAAAAAGU
rnacentral:lncRNA from 1 species